CAGGCAGCGGUUACUUCCGCUUAUAACGGAGAGGUCAUGGGUUCGAUUCCCAUCCGCCCGA
rnacentral:tRNA from 1 species